rnacentral:misc_RNA from 1 species
UCCUGAAAGUGAUGCAAAGAAAAAGAAAUGCAGUACAUUCAUAGAUGCCAAUAUGGACGUUUCUGACUAUUCGGCAUACAGAGAUUAUGAAUGGGCUACUGAAUUAAAUCGGAUUAGUUUAACAUUCUUCGGCGUUUGGCCGGAGAACCAUGAAACUAAGCAAAAAAACUUAAUAUCGGAGAUACGUGUUAUCAUUGCGUGUAACCUACUUAUCUGGAUGUGGCUUAUUCCAAGUCUACAUUCGUUGCUGAAGAUUUAUGAUGAUAUAACAUCGGCAAUCGAUAAUUUGCAAUACACCUUGCCGCUUCUGAUAGCCCUAAUGAAACUUUUCAUCAUUCGGCAAAAGAAAUAUGAUAUCCUACUUGUAUUAAAUAUGAUCAAGAAUGAUUGGCUGAAACCAAUGACGUCAGAAGAGAGAAAUGUUAUGAUAAAGCAGGCACGAAUCGCACGUAUUCUCACGUUAUUGAGUUGCUUGGUAGCGGAAAUGUUUGCUAUAAUUAUCUCAAUUCUUCCCAUUUUUGGCAUUUCAAUGAGAUAUAGGACGAAUAGGACAGACCCAGGCAAAAUAUUGCCACUACAAACAUAUUAUUUGUACGAUGUAAAUAACAGUCCACUUUAUGAGCUAACUUUUGUUCUACAAAGCUUGAGUAUGAUAGUGGUCGCCACGAUAUACACCGGACCGGAUACCUUCAUGAGUCUGCUAGUCUUUCAUAUAUGUGGUCAACUCAAGAAUCUUAAAGCACGAAUUCGCAAUUUGGAUCAAUUGAACAAUUUUCCAGAUGCUUUGUCGGCCAGCGUGAAGGACCAUAUACGUCUUCUGAGGGCCAUUAUAAUCAUUAAUGAUACGUUUAAUUUGAUGUUACUGGGAUUGUUAGUAUACUUUGGCAUACUUUUUACUCUCUAUGGGUUUUUAUUUGUUUCUGCAAAUAACAACGCAAGGUCGCAAUCUUUCUAUGGGACGAUUGCUUUUGUUCCUGUUUGGUUUUACCAUCACAUUUGGGCACAUGAGUCUAUAUUGUAUACUAGGAGAAAUUUUGGUUAUUCAAUCCGAAGGCAUUUACGAAGCUGUUUGCCAAUACGAAUGGUACAAAUUAAAACCGUGGCAGGCGAAAGAUUUCCUGAAUAUAAUGAUACAAGCUAGAAGACCGCUGUAUCUUACUGCAGGAAAGCUCUUUCCUAUGACGAUAGCUACAUUGUGUAAUUUAUUAAAAACUUCGGGCGGCUACAUAUCUGUUCUAUUGGCUCAUCGUAGUUGAACUAGACAUCACGUGGAACACCAAUAUUUCCCCCAUCAUAUUAUAAAUUAUUAUUAAUAGUCGUAAUUAUAUUGUAGAAUUAUACUUCUCCUAGAUUAGACAAAAUAUUAUGAUACAUCGCAUUCGGA